CUGAGAAGGAGUGCUGUGUAGCCAAAGAUCCCUUUUGCCAGCUCUCCAUAUCUCUGCUCCUCCAUUCUAAAUAAGAGAAGAACGUUACAAUUGCGUCUCAGCGCUGCAUAAGUCUAUGAGAGGCUCAGAUGAAAACGCCUCCCUCUGCUGGCUUGCUCGAAUGCUUGAAGGUGGUGAAGAUCCACUCUACGUGGCGAGGAGGCUGGUGAGGUUUGCAAGCGAAGAUAUAGAUGUUCUGUAUAUACAUAAUUUCACAAGAUCCACUGUCAGCUGAAGAGCCGGAUCUGAUAAUCACGGUUAGCUAUAUAGAAUGGAAGAAUUUCCAUGUCAGUUGAGAUUGUUUUC
rnacentral:lncRNA from 1 species